rnacentral:rRNA from 1 species
AGUGGCGGACGGGUGAGUAACGCGUGAGAAUCUGGCUUCAGGAGGGGGACAACAGUUGGAAACGACUGCUAAUACCCCAUAUGUCUACGGACGAAACGGUGAAUUCCGCCUGAAGAUGAGCUCGCGUCGGAUUAGCUAGUUGGUGAGGUAAAGGCUCACCAAGGCGACGAUCCGUAGCUGGUCUGAGAGGAUGAUCAGCCACACUGGGACUGAGACACGGCCCAGACUCCUACGGGAGGCAGCAGUGGGGAAUUUUCCGCAAUGGGCGAAAGCCUGACGGAGCAACGCCGCGUGCGGGAAGACGGCCUGUGGGUUGUAAACCGCUUUUCUCUGGGAAGAAUAAGUUGACGGUACCAGAGGAAUCAGCAUCGGCUAACUCCGUGCCAGCAGCCGCGGUAAUACGGAGGAUGCAAGCGUUAUCCGGAAUUAUUGGGCGUAAAGCGUCCGCAGGCGGCUUAUCAAGUCUGCUGUUAAAGGUCGGGGCUCAACUCCGGUUAGGCAGUGGAAACUGAUAGGCUAGAGUGUGGUAGGGGUAGAGGGAAUUCCCAGUGUAGCGGUGAAAUGCGUAGAUAUUGGGAAGAACACCAGUGGCGAAGGCGCUCUACUGGGCCACAACUGACGCUGAGGGACGAAAGCUAGGGGAGCGAAAGGGAUUAGAUACCCCUGUAGUCCUAGCUGUAAACGAUGGACACUAGGUGUU